UGUGGGUAUAGCUCAGAUGGUAGAGCGCUCGCUCUGCAUGCGAGAAGUACGGGGAUCUAUGCCCCGUAACUCAA